GCCGCUGUUACUUUUCAGUAGUUUGGAUUUCUAAUGGCACUUCUCUCUGUUACAGUGGUUUUAAAAUCCCUGCCACAGUAAACAGUGUCCCCAUGACCUCUCACCUGCUCUGUGAACAGCAGUGCUCAGGCUGUGACUGUAAACGGCUGCUGGCAGACCUCCAGUGAUAGAAAUGAAACAGAUGCUCUGCACACGCUGCUGACAGCAGGCUGCAUCUGACCGUGGAGGUGUGUACAGCACACAGAGACAAAAAGACAGGUAGGUAGAGCCCAACACGGUCAGCAGCUCCGGGAUGACAUCACCACCAUCAUCAUCAUCAUCGUUACACUCUGUUCGCCUCGCGCCCAGAAGACGGCGGCAUCGGGCUGAGCUGAACGGCCUGCUAAAACCGCUACGUCACACGCUCCAGGAGGAGAGCUGGAAGAUGGGACGGUAUCGCGAGAGCGGCGUGCCGCGACCGCAGCGCUGGAUGGCGCUGGUGGGGGCUGGAUGCGCCCACGGCUCGCCCUCUCUCCCGUUAAAUCACACGGUGGGACACGCGAGCGGACGGAGACUGGCGGCGACAGCAGCCGGGGCAAAGUGAAAGAGGAGAAGAAAGCAUUAAAGGGGUCCCCACAUGGGAGCAGCAGUGCUGCCUAAUCAACAUUUAUCCGACAGAAUCUGGCAAAAGACGCUUUGGACACGCUCUCAUGUCCUCAAACACAAACUGAUAAAUCCAAGGAGCUAAAAAAAGAAAAAGCCAACCGCUGGCCCCAGCAAGUGGACAGAUUUUAAAGUAAAAACACGGCUGGAGAGGGGGAGGGUUGUAUGGGUGCCAAAUCCCCAUCCAAGACACACAGCAUCUCCUCGAUCUACGGCUGCCGCCUCUCUCCUCCUCCUCCUCCUCCUCCUCCUCAUCCCUCCAUUUCCUCCUCCUCCUCUUUUCUUUCAUUCUCCCUCGUUCUCUCUCAUGGGAGUGACAUAGAGGCCGUCGCUUGGUCAGCUGCCCCGCCCCUUCCCCGCCUUGCCGUGGAAACGGGGGCGUCCAGGUAGUGAUGUCGUGGAAGAGAAACUACUUUGCGUCGGGUGGCGGAGCAGUAGGCGGGGUGCAGGGGCUGGUGACCCCGAGAACCAUGACCUCUAUUGCACCCAGCAAAGGCCUGAGCAACGAGCCGGGACAGAACAGCUGCUUCCUCAACAGCGCUCUGCAGGUUUUGUGGCAUCUGGACAUCUUCCGCAGAAGCUUUCGACAGCUGACCACACACAAGUGCAUGGAGGACUCGUGUAUCUUCUGCGCUUUAAAGAGUAUCUUUGCUCAGUUCCAGUUCAGCAGUGAGCGCGUGCUGCCAUCAGAUGCACUGCGGAGCGCGCUGGCCAAGACUUUCCAAGACGAACAACGCUUUCAGCUGGGUAUCAUGGAUGACGCUGCCGAGUGCUUCGAGAAUCUCCUGAUGCGUAUCCACUUCCACAUCAGCGCGGAGAGCCGAGAGGACAUCUGCACCGCCAAGCACUGUAUACCACACCAGAAGUUUGCCAUGACUCUGUUUGAACAGUGUGUCUGUAACAGCUGUGGAGCCACAUCGGACCCCUUGCCCUUCAUUCAGAUGGUUCAUUACAUCUCCACUACGUCCCUCUGUAACCAGGCGGUGAGGAUGCUGGAGUGCAGAGAGAAACCCACACCAGACAUGUUCGGAGAGCUGCUCCGCAAUGCCAGCAACAUGGGAGACCUGCGCAACUGCCCUAGUAACUGUGGGGAGGUGUUGCGUAUCCGCAGGGUGCUGAUGAACUCACCGGAGAUCGUGUCCAUCGGGCUGGUGUGGGACUCAGACCACUCUGACCUGGCGGAGGACGUCAUACACAGCCUGGGGACGUGCUUGCGUCUGGGAGAUUUGUUCUACCGUGUGACAGAGGAGAGGGCUCGCCAGGCGGAGCUCUACUUGGUGGGCAUGGUGUGCUACUACGGCAAACACUACUCCACCUUCUUCUUCCAGACCAAGAUACGCAAGUGGAUGUACUUCGACGACGCCCACGUCAAAGAGAUCGGCCCUAAGUGGAAGGACGUGGUGUCUCGCUGUAUCAAAGGCCACUAUCAGCCCCUGCUGCUGCUCUACGCUGACCCCCGUGGGACGCCGGUGAUACUGCAGGAGAGCCCCAACCCCUGUACCAGCUCCAACCCGCAGCUGGAGCUCCAGCACUGCAGCAGCAAGGCUGGUUACGACAGUGAAGACUCCGGUCGGGAGCCGUCCAUAUCCAGCGACACUCGCACCGACUCUUCGACAGACAGCUCGAGUCACCGUGCCUCUCGCAGCCGAUCUCUCCACCAGUCCACGGGCAGCCACCUCUCCAGCGAAUCCCAGACCACAGUGGUCUGUAAUUACGACAUCGGCACACCACCGCACGGUGCUGACGCCGGAGAGUCAGCAGUGGAGGGGCCUCCCCGCCCUCCCUCUCCUCCCCUGCAGGAGUACAAGGAGACGGCCGUCUUCCUCCUCUCCUCCCGCCGGCCACUCACCUCCUCUUCCUCUUCCUCUCGUCCCCUGUCCUCCUCCUCUUCGUCGGGAGUUGGGGGCUGCGAGGGCGGAGCCGGGGGGCCCCACUGGGAGGAUGAAAGCACCAGCAGUGAGAGCAAGUCCAGUUCUUCUGGAAGCCGCUACAGGCCAACCUGGAGGCCCAGGAGAGAGGCCCUGAACAUCGACAGCAUCUUCACCCGACCGAGAGGCUCCUCUCUGGGCUACAACACCCUGCCUGGUCCCUCUCUUCCUCCGGAGCCCCAGGACUCCUUCCCCUUGGUGGGACCCGCUCCACCCACACAGCCAGGGCUGCAAGAGGUGGAGGGAAGGGAAGUCGGGGAGUCAGAGGUGGGGUUUGGGCUGGUCGGGCAGCCCAGGUCUCUGGGCAGUGGGCGGACGAUGGGUCCCCCUGCCCCUCCACCUCUGAGAGGGGUGGAGCACCAGCCGCGUCUGAUCCAGAGGAUGGAGAGUGGCUACGAGAGCAGUGAGAGGAACAGCAGCAGCCCCGACAGGGAGGUGGGGCAACAGAAACGGGUGCUGAUGUCAGGACCUUCAUGGCGUUCGGUGCCCAAGUCAAAGAGCAGCGGUGCCAUCCUGCAGGAGCUGCCCUCACCCAGCUGGGGUGGCGGCACCAACACAGGCGGCUCAGGGCGCAGUGAGCUGGACGAGCUGCAGGAGGAGGUAGCGAGGAGAGCCCGCCAGCAGGAACAGCAGAAGCGGAGGGAGGCGGAGCGGGAGGCGGCCAUGGGAUUCAACCCCAAACCCAGCAAAUUCAUGGACCUGGACCAGCUCCAACACCAGGCUGUGCUCAGACCCCUGCAUGAGGCUAACGCUCAUAGCGGAUUGGCUGUAGCUGCGUGCAUGAGGAGCACUGGGGGCCCAAUCAAACGCAGGCAGGAACAGGAAAUGGAACGGGAGACAGGAAGCGCCCGCCCACAGGGGCCUCGCAGUGAACAGCCUGGCCCGGUCCAAGUACUGCUGACGCCCAAUCAGGAGGAGGAAGAGGACCAGGCAACGGCCAACCAGGACGCUGCUCUGGGCCCGGACCCGCCCCCUCCACCCUAUCGGCCCGCUCCCCCUCGGCCCCCGCUCACCCUCAGCAUCCCUCACCCUUGCGCCCCUUCCAGCCAAGGGGAGGGGGAGGAGGGUGGAUGCAUGGGGAGGAGAGGGGAGGAAGGCGAGGAUGGGAGGGAGGGGACGGGGGUGAGGCUGUGUGAGUUGCUGCAGGCAGGGGGGGUGAGUGUCAGACCCCUGGGGAAGCACUUAGCCAUCUCUCUGCCCUCGCUUCCUCUGCGUCUCUGGGAUACACACACCACACACACCGCACACUCCGCACACCUUGAACCCACACACACACACCCUCCCCCUCCGUCCUCUUCUCCUCCCCCAUCUUCCCCUCUGGAAGCCUCCGGGCAAAGGAAACCUCUCACGCCUCUGUGGCAGCCCCCCCGGCCCCAUUCCCCCGCUGGUGCUGCUCAGCAUUGGCCGAGGCACGAAGCCACCGCUGACAGCGGCACGCGUCAUUGGUCCUCCUGGAGUUUGGACCGCCCUGAUGCCGUGGUGACGCCGUAUGACACGCCCCCAGACCGCUGUGUCCCCAUCAGGCCGCAGACGACCAGUCAGCACUACAGCUACAGUUGCCAGUCCUCUCCAGGGCACUACAGCUCCCAGCAUGCCCCAGGGCAACACAGUGAUCCCUCGUGUGACCGCGAAGAGGCUGAGCUGUCUGAGCUUGACUCCCUUUACCAGGCCAGUCUGCAGGCUGGCAAGACAGGCUGCAGCCCAUCCGAGAGGCUCAUAUCCAGGGUGGGAGGGCAGGCUCGCUCCAAGACCCCCAACGCAGACAUGGAGAGGAGUGUGUACGGGGCCGACUGCACCAGCACCCCCACCUACCUCAACAAGCCAAUGAUGUUGCGGGAUCUGCGUUUCGGGGUGGAGCCUGAUGAUGGGGAGAACCUGAGACGAAUCGGACGCAGCCUGAGCGGCACAGUGGUGACCUCGCGCCGCAGCCGCCUGACUGCAACCCGCAGCUUCGUGAAGCAGGCUGAUGUCAGUGCCUCUCCUUGCUUACUUCCUCUCUUCUGAGUCCCUGUUGCUAUUCCACCACUAUCAUCUUCCUCCAUCCUCCUCAUCACCAACACCUUCUCAUCACCACCUCCCUCCACCGCUUCACAGGAGCUGUCGGGCGGUGCAGGGAGUUUCUGGCUGUGUCUGACGGGGGUCAAGCUGUCUUCUGAUCAGAGUCCCGCUCUGCUUCACUAAUGUCUCACAGCGUCCACCUCCGCAUCGGGGCAGCAGCGCCGGGGGUCUUCGCCGGGGCCUCUCCUUGACAGACCUGGAAUCGGCUCAGGAGGAUCAAACUCCGAUCCCGUUCCUCCUCCCUCUCCCUCAAACGACAUGCACACGCAAACACAUGCACGCACACAUGCACAUCUGCACUGACGUAGAGCCUCCCUCAGCGCCUGCAGCACCCCGCUUAGCCUCUCCUUGCCUUCCUCCCUCCCUCCCGCCCUCUUUUGACCUACUAUUCUGUCUAUGCAGUCACUCUGACCCCCAACUACAACCUCAACCUUCCCCCCCUACUUCCCAGGACUGUUGUAUCUUGUCUCCCCCUGAGUUUUCAGAGGGAUUUCCCUGUGCAGCCUGGCGAGCAUGCCGCUUUCAGUGGAGUUGUCGGCGUGGUCGCUCACUUGGCCGGGUCCGACUGGGACCUGAGCUCUCGGCAGACUCGUCCUCCAUCCUACAGGACCCUCAGCUCAGGGGGAGACUCUUACCAAGUAGCCACGCCUCUUCCUCUUUCUUCACGGGCAUUUCCUGUUGGACGCACACAUAGCCGAACUGGGUCUGUUUCAGAUGGACAGCCAUAUUUUUUCUCUCUUUGUUUUUUGGGUUUGUUUUUUUCUUCCUGUGUGCGCGCACAGUAAACCCGUCCGAGACCGAACUCACUAAUAACUAAAAGUCAUGUACAGAAAAACUCAUGUAUGAAACCUGUAUGUUAAUUAAUAAGACCUUAUGGAAUGUUGAUAAUGAUAAUUAACGAAUAUUGAUAAACUUAAAGUGGUACUUCCUCAUGUCUGCAUUUCAAAUAGGAGUGGAGUGCACUUCACAAGUGUCUAGCUGGAGUUUCCGCCCCCCUCCCCUCUCCCUCUCAAAAACCGCUCGCCGACCUAAUGACAGCUCUCCCGUUUCUACCGGGAGAUUAAACAAGAAAAGCGCUUCCUUUUUUCUCUGCUUCUCUCCUUGUUCUUUUCUUUCCUUCUUCCUUGCUGUCUUUUGAAUUCACGCCUGCAAACAGGAAACAGUAGCACCAGAAAUAGGCCGACAGGGGAGGAAAGUCGAGAUGGGACGAGCGUAUGUAGGCUAGGAAACCCUUCUCUUAGGCUUUAUCAAUGAAAAAAAAAAGAAAGGGAUUGACUCAAGUGCGCUUUACAAGGUUACACGGCAGAAGUGCACUUUCUGAAGGCUAUUUGAGCGAGAGGCAGCCGGAGAGAAGUCGACGAUGGCGUUUGUUUCACUUAAAGGCCUCAGGUGAACUUCAGUGGCACUUACCAAUUCACACUUUAUGAUUUCUCCCCUCCCACUGAAACUGGUUUUGAGACCUCAGAUGUGAAUAGAAAAUGCUCAUCUUCAGCCUGGGACAGUGACAUGUCUAAUAUGAAUAUGCUUUAUAUGAUAUAUAUGUAUUAGAGGUAUAUUUUCAGCCAGUGAGCUAUCUUCUUCAGAGAUGUCAACCAUUUCUCAGUUAUAUGAACAGUUAUUACACAGUAAUGAAGUUAAUUCACCCCCUUUACUGAGGAGCAUUCUGACAUGUGUAGAGUACAUUUAUUAUAUGCUUUAUUCUAUUAAAUAUUAUAUGAAAUAACUCCUUAUACAACAACUGGCCAAUGUAAAGUUCAAGAACUUACUGAUGUUGAUUGAUCGUUGUAACUAAACCAAAGGUUGGCACUUAACUCAGAGAGCGUAUUUAACAUUGCUGUUUUUACUUUCAUUUAGGUUCAGAUUUUGUUGUUUUUUUCUUUGUUUGUUUGUUUGUUUAUUUUGGGUUCUGGAUGUGGGAGAAUGUAGCCAAUUGUAGCGCAUGAGUCCGCUAUGCAAAUCAACCUUCCCUCACGAUCCUGUAUCAGAGACAGUCAGGAGGCAGACACACCCACCCGCGGGGGCGCUCUCACGGACUCUGGCAGAGACGCGGCGAGGUGGAGGAGAUCUCACGUUUUAAUGCUGCUGGUGAACUUUGUUGUUCUGCAUCUAACUACUAUGUCUCAACCAAUGGAAUGCAAAAAGAGAGCAACGAGGAAGAGGACAGGGAGGAAAGAGAGCGAAUGAAUGUAAACUAAAGGAUGAAAGUGCGUGAAUGAUGCGAUGGUCAGAGACGAGAGAGGUUUGGAGAGUGCAGAUGGUUUACUGUUUGUGGGUGUGUGUAGACUGCGUGUGUCAGUUCUGGGGUGGUGUUGCUCGGGGAAAGAGGGAACCUGUAUUUUUGCAAUAAAGUUAUUACCAAUGCACUCCCACAGGGGGCGUAAC